AAACCAACCCUGUUGGAUAACUAGAGCACUGCUGCCUGCUCCUUUAUGAGUCUCAAGCUGCUCCACAGCCAUUUCCUGGCUCCCUAAAGCCCACCUGCUCCCCACAGCUCCAGCUGCAGCUCAUAAGCUUAUCCCAGGCACCAGUGCCCGUGUCACAGAAGAGCAGAAUCAGUGAGCAUCAAGAACUGGAAUGGCUGACCACAAAGGCUGCAGGAUCUCUGUUCUUGUAGACACUCACCUGGACAAGGCCUGAGCAACUCGAGCUAACCUGUAAGUCAAUGGUGCUUUCAGCAAGAGUGCUCUUUAUUUGGAAGUCAAAGCACAAUCUCCUGAACCAUUAAAACAAAACAAAGAAAAACAGGUGUAUACAGAGUUCUGGACAUGCACAAAG